rnacentral:rRNA from 1 species
CCAGCAGCUGCGGUAAUUCCAGCUCCAAUAGCGUAUAUUUAAGUUGCUGCAGUUAAAAAGCUCGUAGUUGGAUUUCGGGUGGUUGACGACGGUCCGCCUCUGGUGUGUACUGCCGCUCCUCCACCUUUCUGUCGGGAACGUGCUCUCAGGCUUAACUGUCUGGGACACGGGUUCGACGAUGUUACUUUGAGUAAAUUAGAGUGUUCAAAGCAGGCAUCGCCUUGAAUAUAUUAGCAUGGAAUAACACGAUAGGACUCUGGCCUAUUUUGCUGGUCUGUAGGACCGGAGUAAUGAUUAAGAGGGCCAGUCGGGGGCAUUCGUAUUUCAUUGUCAGAGGUGAAAUUCUUGGAUUUAUGAAAGACGAACUUCUGCGAAAGCAUUUGCCAAGGAUGUUUUCAUUGAUCAAG